GACCUCCUGCAUGCUAAGCACACACUCUACACUGAAUUCCUCCCACCCCCCACCCCCACUGCACAUAAACUUUCUGAAAAACCAUUGGAAAUAGGGUUAUAGGUUGCAGUCCUCCAGAAACAGGCCUUAAGAAUUUGAGGGCAGGGCAUUAAUUUCAGGUAAACCCAGAAAAUACCAGUACAGGAAGUGAGGAAGUGAAAAAUGAAACAGAAAGAACACAGAAACAGUGUGCAUUAAUGAGGAAGUUAAUGCUGUAGGAAUGGGGCUCCUCUGGGAGAUUGCAUGUAACACUUCUUAGAGUUGCACCCCACCUGCCAUCACCACCAGGGGGCAAAAAGCUGGGAUAUUUACCCACCACCUCCACCGGUCGUGGGUUGAGGACUGCUCCUAGGAACAUAAAUUCCCUGGUACAUCCAGCCUGCCUUGCAUAUCGGUCUGGUGCCCUCAGGAGGCUGGAGAAGGCUGUCACACAAAGACUGAGGAAGCUGUAAUGCAAAAGGGCCCCAACAGUAACUGUUACAACUAAAGAUGCUGCAUUAUCACAAAAGAAAACGUUGUAUGGAGACCUUAGCAAAUCCUCACAACUUUUCCAUGUAUCAUCUCACUUGACCUUCAGAACAAUGUUGUGAGGUGUCUAGUCAAGAAUUUGUAUCCUCAUCAAGAGUAAAGAGAGGAUUAGAAAACUGAAGAUCAGAGAGAUGGGGACUUGCCCAAAAGGAAAAAGCAUGACUAAGUAAUAUAUAACAAAAUAAUACAUGGGAAUUUAAAAUGAGACAAAGCCAAGUCCUGCGCUUCUUUAAUGUAUGGAGGAAUAGCAAUUCUUUUUGAGAGGAUGGAGCCAAACUUGAAUGAGAACAAGAAUAAAUUCUUUAAUGUAAGUGCUUUGCCGAAUUUAUUUGCAGAAUUAACAUACCAGUCCACUUCCAUCAAGGGCAUCCAAUUGCAGCUAUUGUUUGCAUAGUCUGCAGAAAUAGCCAUCUGACAUCCUUGAAGAUUAAUUCCACUGUUACUGUAAGCUUUACGUGAUGGAUAGCUGAAAGAUUGAACCAGGAGCUGCAAUUGAACUCUUACGCCUUAUAAUUGAUAUGAAAAGCUAAAGCAUGUUCAGUUCCUGAUGAUAGCAAUUUGCAAGACUGAAUGGCAUUGCAAGCAUGUUAAUUCAAACUGAAAACAUUCAGCUAAGUUAAUACUAAUUUCACAAUGUUCUAAGAUUCAAGUGAAGCUGUGUUUUUCUGAGUUUAUAAAAUUAGACUACAAAAACAGAUUUUUGAGGAUGUUCUCAGUCACUUGACUUAGAUACACAGUGAGCAGAGCAGUAAAUAUAACUAAUAAAACCAUAUAUUGUGAUUUUGGUGUUUCAUUAUCUGGAAAACAUUACAAGAACGAAAGAAGAUGCUGUGAUAAAUUGUAAAAACUAAAAAACUAAAAAAAAAGAAGAAAGUAAAAGA